rnacentral:lncRNA from 1 species
UAACACAUUUUGCAAAUGAGAGAAAGUGGAAAACCAACAGAGCUACACUGUUCUACAUGUGACAGAUGCAACACUCGGAUGCUGGAAACAAAAACCAUAUAAAGCUGUUUUGGCUCACAGUUAUCUGGCAGACGCAGAACAACAUUAGCAUCCGAAUGAAGACGUGUUUCUGUCCACCUGAUGAAUGAUCUGUUUUCAUGCUGUUUUCGGCGGAUGGAGGAUUUGUUCUGUUCGGCUGCAGCAGUGUGCCGUCAGCUCUCAUUAAGGACCAGCGAGGAGCCGGCCUCUCACCUCCAGAGCCGGGGGAAUGGAGUUGUCUUGUAACGUGCAUCUCUACAGGCGAGUCUGCCUGGGUUGUUGGAGCGGUUGAAUCCAGUUGUCUGUCAGCGGAGGAAAAUCAUCAGGUUGCCAACUUUCCAUGGCGCCUCAACAACGAAGCUGUCGGAUUCAGACAGCCACCAAAUCUGACUGCAGAUAAACAACUGUUCACGGCUGCGACAUCUCAGGGAGGAAAUCAUUCUGUGCUGAGGAACAAUGGGUUAAAUUUGCACCCCGAUUAAUGAGUUUUACUUCAAAUGUGUCGUACUUUAAUAAAGAGGUUUUCAAACUGUGAGGUAGAGUUGAAUCCUGAAUCGUGAGUCAUGACUCUGGACACGCUGACAUGAUGCACAUAUUUUUAGAUCCAUACUUCCACAGCCUGAGGAUAUCAUCUCUGGUGUCUUUCACAAGUAACAUCC